GGGCAGAUGUCCGAGUGGUUGAAGGAGCACGCCUGGAACGCGUGUGUGGGGAAACCCACCGAGAGUUCGAAUCUCUCUCUGCCUGCCA
rnacentral:tRNA from 2 species